UCGGAACGUGCCUUAUAGUGGGGGAUAACUCAUCGAAAGAUGAGCUAAUACCGCAUAAGCUCUGAGGAGGAAAGCUGGGGAUUAAGUAAUUAACCUGGCGCUAUUAGAGCGGCCGAUGCUCGAUUAGCUAGUUGGUGGGGUAAAGGCUUACCAAGGCAAUGAUCGAUAGCUGUUCUUAGAGGAAGAUCAGCCACACUGGGACUGAGACACGGCCCAG
rnacentral:rRNA from 1 species